UCGGAUAUGGUGUAACGGCUAACAUUGCCGCCUUUCAUGUCUUUCCGCGGCAGCUCGGGGUUCGAUUCCCCGUAUCCGAA